GUUGGGCAUGGUGGUGCAUGCCUGUAAUCCCAGAAGCUUGGGAGGCUGAGGCAGGAGAAUCUUGAGUUCAAAACUAGCCUCAGCAAAAACGAGGUGCUAAAUAACUUAGUGAGAUCCUGUCUCUA
rnacentral:sRNA from 1 species